rnacentral:rRNA from 1 species
GUGCCAGCCGCCGCGGUAAUACAGAGACUGCAAGCGUUAUUCGGAUUCACUGGGCGUAAAGGGUGCGCAGGCGGCCAAGUGUGUGGGGCGUGAAAGCCCGGGGCUCAACCCCGGAAUUGCACUCCAAACUACAUGGCUAGAGUACUGGAGAGGGUAACAGAAUUCACGGUGUAGCAGUGAAAUGCGUAGAUAUCGUGAGGAAUACCAGAGGCGAAGGCGGUUACCUGGACAGUUACUGACGCUCAGGCACGAAAGCGUGGGGAGCAAAAGGGAUUAGAUACCCCUGUAGUCC